GGCCCCGUCGUCUAGCGGCUAGGACGCGACCCUUUCAAGGUCGAGGUAGGGGUUCGAUUCCCCUCGGGGUCA
rnacentral:tRNA from 1 species